AGACAAUACUGGAUAACGUUAUGCAGUGUAAAAUUUUUGUCAACAAACCCACGUUGGGAACAACUGGUGACUGUCCAUCUUCGACAUACGUAAGGAGAUGAAUGUCAAGAAACUGAUUAACAUUAACUGACAAGAGGAGACAAUGAGAGGUCAACAUCAUUCUUCAUCUCUGGUGAAGGGCAGAGUUGCUAAUAUUGGGCGCACAGCUAAAUUCAAGCCAAACAAAGAAAAAGACGGAUGCUAUAAAAUGCGGUGUUGGCUUCCCAGUUCAGCACUUUUAAAGAGGUACAAACAUUGCACGUUUGCAACUUUUAAAUGGAAGCAGGGCAUCUGAAAUAUGCUGGAAUCCUCAUCUUAAUGGCCUUAAUGCCAUUUUCAAGAAUACCCUGCUGAAAAAGACAGUUGUCAUUGGUAUAAUGGAUGCAAGACAACACUAGUGAAAUGGUUGUUACCACAAAUAGCACACUCCAGGAUUACACGCUUUCCAAAAACACCAUUACGGCAUGCAGCCAUAAAGGGAUUCUUUGAAAGUCUAUGUUCUAUAAUUGUGGAAGUUCUCUUGAAGAUUCCAUUUGUAUUAGAAUAAAAACUUUAAAGUUAAAAGUUCAAAUGUCUCCAAUACUAGAGACCUGUGAUUUGACAGUACAACAUGGAGCAAUUGUAAAGGACAAAUAAUUUGUACAUUAUUGAUUAUCAUUAUAUAGUUAUCCAUAAAUUACUGGGCUUUUACAUUGUAUUGUAAUUCUCAAAAUUUGCAUAUAUGUUUGAUCUUUGUAAAAUAUGUUUGGUAUACAGUACAGUAAGUAAAUACAUUCUUUCUAAGUUUUAAACAUUUGUCAACAAAAUGUAUGAACUGCAAUCUGAGGAUCAAUUAGAGGUCUGCAAUUAUCCACAUAUAAAAUGACUUUGAAAUCAUCCUGUUACUAUUAAACUUGAUAAUAUAUUAAGAAAACAUCAAAAUCUCUUUAUUGAUUACCUUUUUACAACACAUUGUCUAGAUAUUUUGUGUAUUAUUCUAUGAAGCUGAUUUCUCAAUGGCUAUUGCUUCUCAGGUAAGCAAAGUGACACACAUACUACUUGAUUCUGUAAAAAACUGUAAUCAAGUGAUGUACAAAUGUAACUUCUGCAUUUUUGUGAAACAUUAUUGUAAAGAAUAAAAUACUACAGUUUCAGAAGUUCAGUUUACUAAAUUCUAAUACUAUAAUAUUCUUUCAGCAUUUUGAUGUCAAAAUGAACAUUUUUAAUAAAUCGGCAUAAUAAAUGAAAAUGUAUUUCUGUAAUUUCAGCUUGCAUAUAAGUAUCAACUGUUAUACGAAUGUCCUUCACAAAAUAAAUGUUUUGAUGUUAAA
rnacentral:sRNA from 1 species